rnacentral:rRNA from 1 species
CCUACGGGAGACAGCAGUGAGGAAUAUUGGUCAAUGGGCGCGAGCCUGAACCAGCCAAGUAGCGUGAAGGAUGACUGCCCUGCGGGUUGUAAACUUCUUUUGUAAAGGAAUAAAGUGAGGCACGUGUGCCUUUUUGUAUGUACUUUAUGAAUAAGGAUCGGCUAACUCCGUGCCAGCAGCCGCGGUAAUACGGAGGAUCCGAGCGUUAUCCGGAUUUAUUGGGUUUAAAGGGUGCGUAGAUGGGUUGUUAAGUCAGUUGUGAAAGUUUGCGGCUCAACCGUAACCUUGCAAUUGAUACUGGCAGUCUUGAGUACAGUGGAGGUAGGCGGAAUGCGUGGUGUAGCGGUGAAAUGCUUAGAUAUCACGCAGAACUCCGAUUGCGAAGGCAGCUUACUA